GGCAAAUACAGUAUCCUACUGUUAAGAGAAACAAAAGACCAAGGAAAAUUUUUACAAAGUCCUCCAAUCUUUCAAAUGGCAGCAAGAGAUAUGAAGCCUUUUGUCAUUCAAAUUAUCAUUUGAUACACCUUUAAACUGAUGAUUGAGUGUGAACUUUAAUUCUGACUUUUAUACAAUGUGAAUAAUUUGUCUCAUUAGCUGUCCAAGCAAAAACCGCG
rnacentral:misc_RNA from 1 species